CCCCCGCGGAGACGGACAGGUGGAACCCCGGAGGGAUGCAGGACCGGAGACCCCUGUACGCCGGACAAGGAGAGGCUUGCUGUGUUGCCAAUUGUAUUACCCAGAGGGUCGCCAAUACAAAGAGUUUGGAAACCAGACAGACAGAUGGACAGACAGAGCACUGUUUCAAUAUGGCACAUGGAGGAUCCAUCUGAGCACUCAGGAUAUCUCAGCACUUCUGCACCAUUCUCAGACAAUCAAAGCCUGCACUAAGUUCAACAGAUACUGAAGAUUUGGUGUCCCUCUCCCACUAGAAGUCAUCCUUCUAGUUCAAGACUGAGUUAUGUUAAUGCAGCAGCAUGGGGAAGGUUUUACUGUCACUGGGCCAUUCUACAUCUGUUCCGUGGAUAAACAGUCAAUCUGGCAUUAAGCAAGGUACUGAAGAGCUAAGAGAGGAUGAGUGAUCAGUUGUUUAAUAAAUGUGGGUUGAUAACCUAUGUGGAAAACUCCCAGCAUCGUUCCUGGCACUAAACCAACUUGUUUAUUAAAACUCCAAGGCUGUGUCUAGACUGGCCUGUUUUUCUGGAA